UCCAGCCCUGCCCCCAAAGCUCCUGAAAGGGGGGGGGGCACAGGCCCACACUCAGCAUAUACAGCACCCCUAAGACCACACUGUCCCUGCCUCUCCCGUCUCCAUAUCCUGGUACCUCCCUGUAGAAAUGCUGUCCCCAGCUGUUCCCAUUCUCAUCCCUGGAGACACAGCAGGACCGAGGCCCUGCCAUCUCCGGAUAAUGCAGCAUUGCCCUGGAGCUCUGGGUGGAGAGGGAAGGCUGACCCCGUCCCAGAAGCCAGGUGGGAGCCCCUUCGGCUUUCCAGAGAGCCAGCCACCCCUUUAGUUCUUGCUGGAAGGGAGCCCAGAUCCCCUCUGCAGGAGCAACCACAAUUACUCCAGUCUUGUAUGCAUCCCAGAAAGAUUCUAUGCAUUUGCAAAUGUCUAUUAUACUUUACUUCCCAUGACUCACACAAGAGGGAAAAUGAGGCCCUCAGAGAAGUGAAGUACUUUGACUAAGGUCACACAGCUGGUAAGUUGGCAGAGCUGGGAUUUGGAAGCAGAUCUAACUGAAAAACUCAGCUCCUUUCACCGCCCACGCUCUGGCAGAGGUAAGCCCUGGCAUUGACAAAGCCUCUCCUGAACCACUGGCUGUGACAAAUCUCCAUUCUAAGGCCCUGGAGAUCUGCCUUCCUGUCCGUUGAAUGUCCAAUGCCUGUAUUGACUUAAUAAGGAGGAGUCAUGCCCCUAUGAAAGAAAAGUUCCCACAAGGGUCCUUCCUUCUGUGUGGCUGGUGGUUCCCCAGGGACAGCCUGAUUCCCAGGGUUCAGAGCAUUCUGGAGAAGGAAACCACACGAGCAUGGGUCUCUAACUAGAGGGGGUUGUGGCUGUGGUUUCAAUGAUGUUUCCAGAAAAUGGCCUACGUUCUCCCUGGGGGCAGGCUGGGCUGAGGGAGGUGUGAAGUAGGAGCUGUUUUCUGUGGUAGCCACAUGCUUGUCCUCCAGAGCAAGGGAAGGAGGCUCAAGUCAGUCCCCGGUUGAGAGUAGGCUGGACAUAUGGACAAGGGCUACCCACCAGACUUCCAGGCUCUCCCCAAGCGUCGUUCUCUCCUGGGUCAGGACAGGGUUGGCUAAGAGAUGACCAACUCUCUCUCUCCAGUGGAUGUCACUACAUCUCUGGGUAUGUCUCUGAGAACUUUCUAUAUGGGCUCUCUGUAGGGCUUUCUGGAUCCUAGCUUCCUGUUCAGUUUCUUUCUUUCUAGGACUCCUUCUGUGUUAUGUCUCAAUCUGGUGUCUCCUCCACGUAGGGAACUAUGUCCCUGAGGCCCAAGAGAAGAAGCUCUCACCUC